rnacentral:lncRNA from 1 species
GGGCCCCCGUUGGGUUCAGGGCGGGUGCACCGUUUGCUACUUCGGUGCCAGGGCGGGUUUGUGGCUCAGGUUUCGAGGGUGGAUCCGUGGAAGCUCCACCCAACCCUAACCCGUCCUGUUGCCAUCCCUACUCCGCCCAUCGGUGGUUCUCCACCGCCCAGCCGGUGGCGCCACUGCCACGCCGGUGGCGCCACUGCCACCUUACCUCGUUCAUUGCCUCCACCAUCGAGC